rnacentral:rRNA from 1 species
UGGGGAAUAUUGCACAAUGGGCGAAAGCCUGAUGCAGCAACGCCGCGUGAGUGAUGAAGGCCUUCGGGUUGUAAAGCUCUGUCUUCUGGGACGAUAAUGACGGUACCAGAGGAGGAAGCCACGGCUAACUACGUGCCAGCAGCCGCGGUAAUACGUAGGUGGCAAGCGUUGUCCGGAUUUACUGGGCGUAAAGGAUGCGUAGGCGGAUACUUAAGUCAGAUGUGAAAAUCCCGGGCUUAACUUGGGAACUGCAUUUGAAACUGGGUAUCUAGAGUGCGGGAGAGGAGAGUGGAAUUCCUAGUGUCGCGGUGAAAUGCGUAGAGAUUAGGAAGAACACCAGUGGCGAAGGCGACUUUCUGGACCGUAACUGACGCUGAGGCAUGAAAGCGUGGGGAGCAAACA